rnacentral:rRNA from 1 species
GACGAACGCUGGCGGCGUGCCUAAUACAUGCAAGUUGAGCGCUGAAGGUUGGUACUUGUACCAACUGGAUGAGCAGCGAACGGGUGAGUAACGCGUGGGGAAUCUGCCUUUGAGCGGGGGACAACAUUUGGAAACGAAUGCUAAUACCGCAUAAAAACUUUAAACACAAGUUUUAAGUUAGAAAGAUGCAAUUGCAUCACUCAAAGAUGAUCCCGCGUUGUAUUAGCUAGUUGGUGAGGUAAAGGCUCACCAAGGCGAUGAUACAUAGCCGACCUGAGAGGGUGAUCGGCCACAUUGGGACUGAGACACGGCCCAAACUCCUACGGGAGGCAGCAGUAGGGAAUCUUCGGCAAUGGACGAAAGUCUGACCGAGCAACGCCGCGUGAGUGAAGAAGGUUUUCGGAUCGUAAAACUCUGUUGGUAGAGAAGAACGUUGGUGAGAGUGGAAAGCUCAUCAAGUGACGGUAACUACCCAGAAAGGGACGGCUAACUACGUG